rnacentral:ncRNA from 1 species
ACAGAUAGAGGUGCGGAAACCAUCAGUAACCCUUUGGAAGAAAUGCUGGACGGCAGAAGGGGCGAAAGGGGAAUCCGCCGAAGCUUGGGAGCAGGUCCGAUGGCUCCGGGCUGGGACGCAGCAGAAUAUGCGGCGGACUGUCACUUUUGUGGAGCGCUAUCA